CUGGUUGAUCCUGCCAGUAGUCAUAUGCUUGUCUCAAAGAUUAAGCCAUGCAUGUCUAAGUACAAGCCUCAGUAAGGUGAAACCGCGAAUGGCUCAUUAAAUCACACCUAAUCUACUGGAAAGUUACAAGUUACUUGGAUAACUGAGGUAAUUCUUGAGCUAAUACAUGCGAAAAAUCUCGACUCACGGAGAGAUGCUUUUAUUAGAUCAAAACCAAACGGCUUCGGCCGUAACAUUGGUGACUCUGAAUAACUUUGGGCUGAUAGUAUGGCCUUAUGCCGACGACGUUUCCUUCGAAGGU
rnacentral:rRNA from 1 species